UCCGGUUGAUCCUGCCGGACCCCACUGCUAUCGGGGUGGGACUAAGACAUGCUAGUCGUGCGCCUCCAAGCCACGGUGGAGGCGCGGCGCACAGCUCAGUAACACGUGGCUAACCUACCCUUGGGACAGGGACAACCCCGGGAAACUGGGGCUAAUCCCCGAUAGGUGAGGACUCCUGGAAUGGGUCCUCGCUGAAAGGGCGUCUAGACCAUGCUUCUAGACGCUGCCCAAGGAUGGGGCCGCGGCCGAUCAGGUUGUUGGUGAGGUAACGGCUCACCAAGCCUAAGACCGGUACGGGCCGUGAGAGCGGGAGCCCGGAGAUGGACACUGAGACAAGGGUCCAGGCCCUACGGGGCGCAGCAGUCGCGAAACCUCCGCAAUACGCGAAGGCGUGACGGGGCCACCCCGAGUGCCGUCCGCUGAGGACGGCUUUUCCCCAGUGUAGACAGCUGGGGGAAUAAGGGGAGGGCAAGUCGGGUGUCAGCCGCCGCGGUAAUACCCGCUCCCCGAGUGGUGGGGACGCUUAUUGGGCCUAAAGCAUCCGUAGCCGGCUGGACAAGUCCCCUGUUAAAUCCAGCGAUUUAAUCGCUGGACUGCGGGGGAUACUGCCCAGCUAGGGGGCGGGAGAGGCCGGCGGUAUUCCCGGGGUAGGGGUGAAAUCUUAUAAUCCCGGGAGGACCACCAGUGGCGAAGGCUGCCGGCUGGAACGCGCCCGACGGUGAGGGAUGAAAGCUGGGGGAGCGAACCGGAUUAGAUACCCGGGUAGUCCCAGCUGUAAACGAUGCGGGCUAGGUGUUGGCACGGCUACAAGCCGUGUCAGUGCCGCAGGGAAGCCGUUAAGCCCGCCGCCUGGGGAGUACGGCCGCAAGGCUGAAACUUAAAGGAAUUGGCGGGGGAGCACCACAAGGGGUGAAGCUUGCGGUUUAAUUGGAGUCAACGCCGGG
rnacentral:rRNA from 1 species